rnacentral:rRNA from 1 species
GUGAGGAAUAUUGGACAAUGGGCGCAAGCCUGAUCCAGCCAUGCCGCGUGCAGGAAGACGCAUCUAUGGUGUGUAAACUGCUUUUGUACGGGAAGAAACACUCCCUCGUGAGGGAGCUUGACGGUACCGUAAGAAUAAGGAUCGGCUAACUCCGUGCCAGCAGCCGCGGUAAUACGGAGGAUCCAAGCGUUAUCCGGAAUCAUUGGGUUUAAAGGGUCCGUAGGCGGUUUAAUAAGUCAGUGGUGAAAGCCCAUCGCUCAACGAUGGAACGGCCAUUGAUACUGGUAGACUUGAAUUACAAGGAAGUAACUAGAAUAUGUAGUGUAGCGGUGAAAUGCUUAGAUAUUACAUGGAAUACCAAUUGCGAAGGCAGGUUACUACUUGUGGAUUGACGCUGAUGGACGAAAGCGUGGGGAGCGAACAGGAUUAGAAACCCGGGUAGUCC